CUCAUACAUAUUCAUACUUCAUUUAAUUUCAUUCAAUUCAUAUACGAUUCAAUAUCAUUUAAUUCAAUAUCAAUAUUCACCUUAUUUUUAUUUACUAAACAUAUUAUUCAAAAUUUAACAAUUGCUAUUAAUAAAUUCAAUAUCAAUACGUAUUUAUCAUUCAAUUCAAUCAUGAUACUUACUUCAAUUUGCUUAUCAUGUAUAUUAAUUUAAAUUUUAACAAUUAAUAAUUAAAUUCGAAUUAUAGUAAUACUAACCGUAAAUUUUCUCGAGUCACUCCUUAUCCACCUUCUCAUUUCCUUUCUCGGACAAUGACUCUUGCACGACAUUAGCUACGUAAUUAAACAAUUAAAAAUCAUUAAUACACAAUUUCAUUAAAAUAUUUCCAUUUAUACCUAAACUUUACCUAAAUUCUAAUUUAAUCCCUUAUCAAUACUAAUUUUAUUUUCCCAAUCUAACUCCAUAUUCUCUCUUAAUUCUUACUAUAAACUCACUUUAACUCUUCAUUUCCACCAUAAAUCCCUAAUUUCGAAAUUCUCUCAAUUUAGCCCCUAUUAAUUCAAAGCCUAUAAUUUAUUUUACAAAUCAACCUUUUUCUAACUUCUAACUUGAAAUUUAAUCAAUUUAACCCCUAAUUCUUUUAUUUAUUCAACACAAUCAAUGCCUAGAAAUAUAAUAACUUCCCAAAUUUUAACAUAAAUCCAAUAAUACUUUGUUCUAGAAUAUCAAAAACUCAAAAAUUAUAAGAAAAGGACUUAAUUUGACUUACCAAUUAAGCUUGAAAUCUUGAAAUCCCAAAUUUUCUUCCUUUCCUUCCCUUUUUUUUCUUUUUCUUUCCUUUCCUUCUUUCCUUCUCUGUUUCGU
rnacentral:lncRNA from 1 species